rnacentral:rRNA from 1 species
CCUACGGGGGGCAGCAGUGGGGAAUAUUGGGCAAUGGGCGCAAGCCUGACCCAGCAACGCCGCGUGAAGGAAGAAGGCUUUCGGGUUGUAAACUUCUUUUGUCAGGGAAGAGUAGAAGACUGUACCUGACGAAUAAGCCACGGCUCACUACGUGCCAGCAGCCGCGGUAAUACGUAGGUGGCAAGCGUUGUCCGGAUUUACUGGGUGUAAAGGGCGUGUAGCCGGGUUGACAAGUCAGAUGUGAAAUCCUGCGGCUUAACCGCAGAACUGCAAUUGAAACUAUUGAUCUUGAGUACUGGAGAGGAAGACGGAAUUCCUAGUGUAGCGGUGAAAUGCGUAGAUAUUAGGAGGAACACCAGUGGCGAAGGCGGUCUGCUGGACAGCAACUGACGGUGAGGCGCGAAAGCGUGGGGAGCAAACAGGAUUAGAUACCCUAGUAGUC